rnacentral:misc_RNA from 1 species
GAUGAAGAACGUAGCGAAAUGCGAUAAGUAUGUGAAUUGCAGAAUUCAGUGAAUCAUCGAAUCUUUGAACGCACAUUGCGCCCAUUAGUAUUCUAGUGGGCAUGCCUGUUCGAGCGUCAUUUCAACCCUUAAGCCUAGCUUAGUAUUGGGAAUCGACUUUACUGUCGUUCCUCAAAUUCAACGGCGGAUUUAUAGCAAUCUCUGAACGUAGUAAUUUUUUUCCUCGUUUUUGAAAUACUAUAAACCUCAGCCGCUAAACCCCCAAUUUUUUUAUGGUUGACCUCGGAUCAGGUAGGAAUACCCGCUGAACUUAAGCAUAUCAAUAAGCGGAGGA